UACGUAGGGGGCGAGCGUUGUCCGGAAUCAUUGGGCGUAAAGAGCGUGUAGGCGGCUUGGCAAGUCUGACGUGAAAGCCCGCGGCUCAACCGCGGAUUGUCGUUGGAAACUGCCUCGCUAGAGUCCGGAAGAGGAGAGCGGAAUUCCUGGUGUAGCGGUGGAAUGCGCAGAUAUCAGGAAGAACACCCGUGGCAAAGGCGGCUCUCUGGGACGGUACUGACGCUGAGACGCGAAAGCGUGGGGAGCGAACAGG
rnacentral:rRNA from 1 species